rnacentral:misc_RNA from 1 species
GAUGAAGAACGUAGCGAAAUGCGAUAAGUAAUGUGAAUUGCAGAAUUCAGUGAAUCAUCGAAUCUUUGAACGCACAUUGCGCCCGCUAGUAUUCUGGCGGGCAUGCCUGUCCGAGCGUCAUUUCAACCCUCAAGCCCCCGGGCUUGGUGUUGGGGAUCGGCGAGCCUCCGCGCCCGCCGUCCCCUAAAUCUAGUGGCGGUCUCGCUUUAGCUUCCUCUGCGUAGUAGCACACCUCGCACUGGGAAACAGCGCGGCCACGCCGUUAAACCCCCAACUUCUGAACGUUUGACCUCGGAUCAGGUAGGAAUACCCGCUGAACUUAAGCAUAUCAAUAAGCGGAGGA